rnacentral:rRNA from 1 species
AUUGAACGCUGGCGGCAGGCCUAACACAUGCAAGUCGAGCGGAUGGAGGGAGCUUGCUCCUGGAUUCAGCGGCGGACGGGUGAGUAAUGCCUAGGAAUCUGCCUGGUAGUGGGGGAUAACGUCCGGAAACGGGCGCUAAUACCGCAUACGUCCUGAGGGAGAAAGUGGGGGAUCUUCGGACCUCACGCUAUCAGAUGAGCCUAGGUCGGAUUAGCUAGUUGGUGGGGUAAAGGCCUACCAAGGCGACGAUCCGUAACUGGUCUGAGAGGAUGAUCAGUCACACUGGAACUGAGACACGGUCCAGACUCCUACGGGAGGCAGCAGUGGGGAAUAUUGGACAAAGGGCGAAAGCCUGAUCCAGCCAUGCCGCGUGUGUGAAGAAGGUCUUCGGAUUGUAAAGCACUUUAAGUUGGGAGGAAGGGCAGUAAGUUAAUACCUUGCUGUUUUGACGUUACCAACAGAAUAAGCACCGGCUAACUUCGUG